rnacentral:rRNA from 1 species
UACGAGGGGUGCAAGCGUUGUUCGGAAUUAUUGGGCGUAAAGCGUGUCUAGGUGGGUAGGUCAGUCAGGUGUGAAAGAUCCAGGCUCAACUUGGAAAUUGCGCUUGAUACUGCUUAUCUUGAGUGAGGGAGGGAUGAGUGGAAUUCCUGGUGUAGCAGUGAAAUGCGUAGAGAUCAGGAGGAACACCGGUGGCGAAAGCGACUCAUUGGCCCUUUACUGACACUAAAGCACGAAAGCGUGGGGAUCAAACAGG